rnacentral:misc_RNA from 1 species
GAUGAAGAACGUAGCGAAAUGCGAUAAGUAAUGUGAAUUGCAGAAUUCAGUGAAUCAUCGAAUCUUUGAACGCACAUUGCGCCCGCCAGUAUUCUGGCGGGCAUGCCUGUUCGAGCGUCAUUUCCACCAUCAGGCCCCCGGGCCUGUGUUGGGGACCUGCGGCUGCCCGCAGGCCCCGAAAUUCAGUGACGGUCGCGCCGUAGCAACCGAGCGUAGUAACUAAAACGUCUCGCUCUGGCUCGCUGGGCGCGCUCCGGCCGUAAAACACCCCCCCUUUUCGCAAAGGUUGACCUCGGAUCAGGUAGGAAUACCCGCUGAACUUAAGCAUAUCAAUAAGCGGAGGA